AGCCUCACUCUAGCCCGGCCACAUACACUCACACACUUAACCAACAAACCUACUUUCAUACUAAACCAAAACAUUCACCCCCACCUAGUAUAGGCGAUAGAAAAGAUCUACCGGCGCUAUAGAACUUUGUACCGUAAGGGAAAGAUGAAAUAAUAAUGAAAAACCAAGCAACAAACAGCAAAGACAAGCCCUUGUACCUUUUGCACCAUGAUUUAGCAAGAAUAACCAAGCGAAGCGAACUUAAGCUUGCCCUCCCGAAACCCAAGCGAGCUACUUACAAGCAGCUACCCAUGAGCGAACCCGUCUCUGUGGCAAAAGAGUGGGACGACUUGUUAGUAGAGGUGAAAAGCCAACCGAGCUGGGUGAUAGCUGGUUGCCUGUGAAAUGAACCUAAGUUCACUAUUGAUUACCCCUCCAUGGACCACCCAACAACCCUCCACGUAGAUAGUCAAAAGCUAUUUAAAGGGGGUACAGCCCCUUUAAAAAAGGACACAACCUCCUCUAGCGGAUAACCACCCCCAUAGAUACCUGUGGGCCUUCAAGCAGCCACCAACAAAGAAUGCGUCAAAGCUCUACCUCCAAAAAUCUAACAACAACACGACUCCCUUACCACUAACAGGCCAACCUAUGGCAAUAGGAGAAUCAAUGCUAAAAUGAGUAACUCAGGGACCACCCCUCUCCAGCGCAAACUUACAUCCCAACAUUAUUAACAGGCCAAUGAUACUCAAACUAAGACAAGACUAAAUAUCACAUCACCCUGUUAGCCCAACCCAGGAGCGCUCAUUAGAAAGAUUAAAGUCUGUGAAAGGAACUAGGCAAACCCUAGGCCCGACUGUUUACCAAAAACAUAGCCUUCAGCUCAAACCAAGUAUUGAAGGUGAUGCCUGCCCAGUGACACUACGUUCAACGGCCGCGGUAUCCUAACCGUGCGAAGGUAGCACAAUCAAUUGUCCCAUAAAUCGAGACUUGUAUGAAUGGCUAAACGAGGUCUUAACUGUCUCUCACGGAUAAUCAGUGAAAUUGAUCUCCCCGUGCAAAAGCGAGGAUAAACACAUAAGACGAGAAGACCCUGUGGAACUUAAAAAUCAACGGCCACACCCACCCAAACCUGAACCCAUGGGCCCACUACCCCCAAAAUGCUGGCUCGUAUUUUUCGGUUGGGGCGACCUUGGAGAAAAACAAACCCUCCAAAAACAAGACCACAUAUCUUAACCAAGAGCAACACCUCGACGUACAAAAAGUGACCUGACCCAAUACACUUGAUCAAUGAACCAAGCUACCCCAGGGAUAACAGCGCAAUCUCCCCCAAGAGCCCAUAUCGACAGGGAGGUUUACGACCUCGAUGUUGGAUCAGGACAUCCUAAUGGUGCAGCCGCUAUUAAGGGUUCGUUUGUUCAACGAUUAAUAGUCCUACGUGAUCUGAGUUCAGACCGGAGCAAUCCAGGUCGGUUUCUAUCUAUGACUCGUCCCUUCCAGUACGAAAGGACCGAAGGGGCAGGGCCCAUGCUACAAGUACGCCCUCCCCCUAAGUGGUGAAAUCAACUAAAUCACCAAAGGGGUCCCACACCUCAAUUCACCCUAGAAAAGGGCCG
rnacentral:rRNA from 1 species